rnacentral:rRNA from 1 species
GGGGAGUACGGCCGCAAGGUUAAAACUCAAAUGAAUUGACGGGGGCCCGCACAAGCGGUGGAGCAUGUGGUUUAAUUCGAUGCAACGCGAAGAACCUUACCUGGUCUUGACAUCCACAGAAKWMUSCAGAGAUGGAUUUGUGCCUUCGGGAACUGUGAGACAGGUGCUGCAUGGCUGUCGUCAGCUCGUGUUGUGAAAUGUUGGGUUAAGUCCCGCAACGAGCGCAACCCUUAUCCUUUGUUGCCAGCGGUYMGGCCGGGAACUCAAAGGAGACUGCCAGUGAUAAACUGGAGGAAGGUGGGGAUGACGUCAAGUCAUCAUGGCCCUUACGACCAGGGCUACACACGUGCUACAAUGGCGCAUACAAAGAGAAGCGACCUCGCGAGAGCAAGCGGACCUCAUAAAGUGCGUCGUAGUCCGGAUUGGAGUCUGCAACUCGACUCCAUGAAGUCGGAAUCGCUAGUAAUCGUGGAUCAGAAUGCCACGGUGAAUACGUUCCCGG